CUGGCAUGCACUGUUAAGUUCCUUGGCUCCUCCUUAUGCCAUCAGGUCGUGAUAUCAUUGGGCUUGCAGAAACUGGCUCUGGAAAGACAGGCGCCUUUGCUUUGCCCAUUCUAAAUGCACUGCUGGAGACCCCACAGCGUUUGUUUGCCCUAGUUCUUACCCCGACUCGGGAGCUGGCCUUUCAGAUCUCAGAGCAGUUUGAAGCCCUGGGGUCCUCUAUUGGAGUGCAGAGUGCUGUGAUUGUAGGUGGAAUUGAUUCAAUGUCUCAAUCUUUGGCCCUUGCAAAAAAACCACAUAUAAUAAUAGCAACUCCUGGUCGACUGAUUGACCACUUGGAAAAUACGAAAGGUUUCAACUUGAGAGCUCUCAAAUACUUGGUCAUGGAUGAAGCCGACCGAAUACUGAAUAUGGAUUUUGAGACAGAGGUUGACAAGAUCCUCAAAGUGAUUCCUCGAGAUCGGAAAACAUUCCUCUUCUCUGCCACCAUGACCAAGAAGGUGCAAAAACUUCAGCGAGCAGCUCUAAAGAAUCCUGUGAAAUGUGCCGUUUCCUCU
rnacentral:sRNA from 1 species